AGGAAUGUAUAGCAAUAGCUACUUACAUGAUAGUAAUAAUGAUGUAAGAUCGACGGAGUCGAAUAAAGUUCUAGGUAGAAUUUUGAUAAUGACAUUAUAUGCCUAUGUGUCUUGACCAAUUACGUGCCAGCAGUCGCGGUAAUACGUAUAAGGCUAGCGUUAUUCAUGUUUAAUCGGUUUAAAGGGUACCUAGACGGCAGAUCAAGCUUAUGAAAAAAAAAGGACUAAUCUGCUAGAGUUACUACUGAGGGGGCUAUAAAGUACUGCUGGUGUAGGGAUGAAAUAUUUUGAUACCUGAAAAAUAUGGCACAGGUAUAGGCGAAGGCAUCCCCUUAUGAGAUAACUGACGUUGAGGGACGAAGGCUUCGGACCACGAACAGGAUUAGAGACCCUGGUAGUUGAAGCAGUAAACGCUGAAUGUCAUAGAUUAGAUAUAUAAGUUUCUUCUAUAAAUGAAAGUGUAAGCAUUCCACCUCAAGAGUAAUUUGGCAACAUUGGAACUGAAAUCAUUAGACCGCUUCUGAAAUUAGUAGUGAAGUAUGUUGUUUAAUUUGAUAGUCCGCAAAGAACCUUACCACAAUUUGAAUAUUUAGAUUGUUUAUUGUUAUCUUAUUAGUUUCCUUUUUUAUAUGAAGUAAAACUAAUGUUGAAGCAAUAACAUAUAUUUACAAGCGUUGCACGGCUGUCGUCAGUUGAUGUCGCGAGACUGUGGUUUACUCCACCAAUCAACGUAAACCCCCGUUUUAUUUUUAGAUAAAGCAGAUAAUUACCGAUAUGGUGAUGAU
rnacentral:rRNA from 1 species